rnacentral:rRNA from 1 species
UACGGAAGGCAGCAGUGGGGAAUAUUGCACAAUGGGCGCAAGCCUGAUGCAGCCAUGCCGCGUGUAUGAAGAAGGCCUUCGGGUUGUAAAGUACUUUCAGUCGUGAGGAAGGUGUUAAGGUUAAUAACCUUAGCAAUUGACGUUAGCGACAGAAGAAGCACCGGCUAACUCCGUGCCAGCAGCCGCGGUAAUACGGAGGGUGCGAGCGUUAUUCGGAAUUAUUGGGCGUAAAGAGCGCGUAGGCUGAUUAGUAAGUUAAAGUGAAAUCCCAAAGCUUAACUUUGGAAUUGCUUUUUAAACUGCUAGUCUAGAGAUUGAAAGAGGAUAGAGGAAUUCCUAGUGUAGAGGUGAAAUUCGUAAAUAUUAGGAGGAACACCAGUGGCGAAGGCGUCUAUCUGGGUUCAAAUCUGACGCUGAGGCGCGAGGCGUGGGGAGCAAAC